rnacentral:miRNA from 14 species
CACGUGACAUCACACGUGACGUCACACGUGACAUCACGCGUGACGUCACACAUGACAUCACACGUGACGUCACACAUGACAUCACACGUGACGUCACACGUGACAUCACACGUGACGUCACACGUGACAUCACACGUGACGUCACACGUGACAUCACACGUG